rnacentral:rRNA from 1 species
AGAAUCAACGCUGGCGGCGUGCCUAACACAUGCAAGUCGAACGCGAAAGGGGAGCAAUCCCUGAGUAGAGUGGCAAACGGGUGAGUAACACGUGGGUGACCUGCCUUCGAGUGGGGGAUAACGUCCCGAAAGGGACGCUAAUACCGCAUGACAUCCUGUCCUUGGAUGGACGGAGAUCAAAGCUGGGGAUCGCAAGACCUGGCGCUUGAAGAGGGGCCCGCGCCUGAUUAGCUAGUUGGUGGGGUAAUGGCCUACCAAGGCUACGAUCAGUA